UAGUGCGGGACGGGAGGCGGGGGCAGGGAGAGAGGAGGGAGGGGGAGACAGGGAGAGGGAGACGAAGAUGACAAAGAGGCGGCGGCAGGGGCCAGGGGUCUUCGUGCGGCCACAGUGAAGAGGUCCGCUGUUACCCCGCUGAAACAGAAAGCCACUGGAAUGCUCUGAGCGCAGGGAAGCUUGGCUCCACGUUUGAAAAGGUUCUCCGGGGCUGCUCUGGGUGAAGCAAGGAAACCAGUGAGAAGGUAGCGGUGACAAUCCGUUAAAGAGAUGGCGGUGGGGACUGAGAAAUGGUAACACCCGGCAUCUGUUUGGAAGGUACGGGCAGCAGGCGAUACUGAGAAAGGAUUUGACAGCGACCCUUCCCUUUUUGACGCGGGCAGCUGGAGACGGGAAAGCUGCAGGAGGAGCAAGCUCGGGGUGCUGGACAUCAGGAAUUCUGCUCUGGCCGUUUUGACACCGCAGGGGAGAUAUCCAGACCACCACUGGACAUAAGAAGUGUGUGGGUUAAGGCAGAAGUCCCAGUGGAGGUACAGUAUCAGGAGGCAGCAGUAAGAAAGACAUUUUAGGACACAGCCUGGCACCGCUGGAUUCGCCUAGGAGGUGAGCAUAGACGCGGAAGACGUCUAAGGGCCAAGCCUUGGGUUUGGCAGUGUUUAAGAUCCAGGGAAUGAGGAGCAGGCUGCCACUGAAGUAAGAAAAGUGGGUAGAGCGGGGUCUUGAAAGCCAAGUCAAGAAACAGUGAGUGUGUUAAGUGCUGCUGGCAGGGGAACCCAGUUCUGCAAGACUGCAUCCCUGGAUUUGACUAUGGAGACAUCAUGCCGACCCUGCAGCCAGUUUUGAUAAAAAGCCGAAAGCCUUCUUGGAGAGAUUGAGAUAAGAGUAAAGGAAAGUUGGAGCGGACAGCUGUUCUGAGUAUAUUUACUGGGAAGAGGAACAGAGAAGUGGGGCAGCGGCUGCAGGAAACUAUGGCGCCUCCCUAGGGAGUUUCUUCUUUCCUUCAUCUCUCUUUUCUUUUAAAGAUGGAACGAUUUCCACACGUGAAGAUGCUGAGAGGAAUGACCUGGUCAAAGGAGGAGGGGGAUAAUUCGUGACGCAGGAGAGAGAAUGGAAAACCACCAAAGAGAACCGCAAGGUGGGCGGCGGGGGACGUAACCAGACGAGCGGAGGUGAUCGGCCUUAGAUAAGAGGGCACGUUACCAACCAGAGCCCGGCCCGAGGGCGCGCGUGCGCGACGGUAGAUAGGUGAGAGGCAGUAGAUACGGUGAGGGGUCAGGUACCUCCUUCAGGGUGUUUUUCCUCAUCAGUAGAGAGAGGAGAGAGGCGGCUGGCAGACGAGAAAGUGUGAUCCUUGUCUAGGAGAGCCGAGGUAAGCCGUGGAGCAGCAAUGCUGGGCCCCACUAAGGCCCCGUUGGACUCAGUGGUCCUGAAUUUAAAGUGGGAGCCACUGGCAUUACUGGGCAUUUCCCUGAGGCCCUGCAGAACGCCGGAUGUUGCCGAGGGGCAGGCAGAGAACAAAAUGGGGGCGGCCUCAUCCCACACUGCGCUGUAGCACUGAAUAAACGCCCAUGUGUCAAAUGCAGCAAAUUUACUUUAAACGUUUCCAUUUACUAUUAUAACACCUGACCAUAAGGGGAGCAUAAGCCAUAAAGGAAGCAUCUACUAGAUGCCUGACUUUUCAGGACAAACAGACAAACAGAAGCCUUUGAAAGACACAGAUCUCCCCUCCAAAUAUUACAUCUUUUUGUAAAAAUGCCACCACCAGUGAACAAAGCGAUAUCCACAGUUGGAACAAAACAAGAGCGUGUGAUGCUUUUAAGUCAAACAGAACCCGGAGAGCUGACAAAGAUCACGCGUUCUCCAUCUGCAAAGCAGAAACUUCACUCUCUUCCAGGACCACAACUGUUGACACACGUGCACUGGAUGUCUUAGCUACUGUGCUUCAGAGACUAACAUUACAGCGAGGAAGUCCAGAUCCAAAAAUCAAAACUGUGCAACAGAAUCAUCAAAUUACAAAACAUCAAUUAAUUAUACACACAUGCACACAAACAUGCACAAGUGAUGGGAUCCUGAAAAUAAGACAACAGAUGCCUGAAUUUUUCCCCACUAAACCACCUUACUAAGAAGAAAGGAAUUGGAUACAUUCACAUACUGGAGAAACUACGCUGUGGAAUCCUUCCAAAUCCGGCCUGGAACGGUUAAGUCACUUUGUUUAACGGAACAGCUUUUGAUGCAUGUUGUUGUUUGAAAAUUCUGAAACUGUAGUAACAGACCAAGCACACGGUCUCAGGAAACCGGAGAGUUCACGAGGCGCUUCCACCUCUUUCGGUGAAGUUACUGAACUUCUCCUCGUCGUGUGACGGCAAGUCUCACUUUUAUAAAUGUGUAUCAGACACCAAAUUAAGUCGCAAAUCAAACAUCCCUUUUAGUUAUCAGGGUUAUGAAAAGAAGUGUAAGAGCGAGAAGUGUUUUUAUUUACUAUUAUUAAGAGAACUGAAGAGUUCACUUUGUUUUUGUUUCAUCCAGGAGAGGUGGCAAACUCGGGUUUUGUUUGCUGGCUUCAGAUACCAAAUUAACUCACAAAUCGAACAUCCUUCUUGGUCAUCAGGAUUGUGAAAAGUGUAAAAGAGGUAUUUUUAUUUACUAUUAUUAAGAGGACUGAAGCGCUGACUUUUUUGUUUGUUUCAUCCCGAAGAGGUGGCAAACACCGGUUUUGCUUGCUUGCUUCAGAUACCAAAUUAACUCACAAAUCAAACAUCCCUCUUAGUCACCAGGACUGUGACAAGAAGAGGGAGAGGUGUCUUUAUUUACUAUUAUUAUUUUAAGAGGAGGACUGAAGAGUUCACGUUUUGUUUGUUUCAUCCAGAAGAGGUGGCAAACUCGGGUUUUGCCUGCUUGCGCGUUUUCAACAA